CUGCAGUCAAUUAAGCUGACUGGGUUACUUUGCUGGUGGGUACCCCAUGUGAAAAAUGGCUGCAAACAGCAACCUCCAUGGUAGUGUACAUGUCCUAUCACUUACAUGGGCUGCCCCAAAGGACCCGGGAGACACUG
ensembl:snoRNA SNORA70 Small nucleolar RNA SNORA70